rnacentral:rRNA from 2 species
AACGCUAGCUACAGGCUUAACACAUGCAAGUCGAGGGGCAGCAUGAUUUGUAGCAAUACAGAUUGAUGGCGACCGGCGCACGGGUGAGUAACGCGUAUGCAACUUACCUAUCAGAGGGGGAUAGCCCGGCGAAAGUCGGAUUAAUACCCCAUAAAACAGGGGUCCCGCAUGGGAAUAUUUGUUAAAGAUUCAUCGCUGAUAGAUAGGCAUGCGUUCCAUUAGGCAGUUGGCGGGGUAACGGCCCACCAAACCGACGAUGGAUAGGGGUUCUGAGAGGAAGGUCCCCCACAUUGGUACUGAGACACGGACCAAACUCCUACGGGAGGCAGCAGUGAGGAAUAUUGGUCAAUGGCCGAGAGGCUGAACCAGCCAAGUCGCGUGAAGGAAGAAGGAUCUAUGGUUUGUAAACUUCUUUUAUAGGGGAAUAAAGUGGAGGACGUGUCCUUUUUUGUAUGUACCCUAUGAAUAAGCAUCGGCUAACUCCGUGCCAGCAGCCGCGGUAAUACGGAGGAUGCGAGCGUUAUCCGGAUUUAUUGGGUUUAAAGGGUGCGUAGGUGGUGAUUUAAGUCAGCGGUGAAAGUUUGUGGCUCAACCAUAAAAUUGCCGUUGAAACUGGGUUACUUGAGUGUGUUUGAGGUAGGCGGAAUGCGUGGUGUAGCGGUGAAAUGCAUAGAUAUCACGAAGAACUCCGAUUG